UUAAAGUCAAAGACCUCAAGCAGAAGAAGCGCCGGAAUAAACCGUGUCAUGUGUAGCACAACCCGAAAUAAAGGUCACAACU